CUUACAUCUGACAUGAUCUAAUUAUGUCUGACAGAGACUGUUGUUGAAAUGAUUCAGUCUGACUCUUCUAAGAGUGAACACUUGUACAAUGGAUCUUCAUUCAGUUAUUCUGUUCUUUGUCUCAACCGCUGCUGUCUUUGGGAAUGUCAUUAAACCAAACAAAACAGAUGUUUUUGCUGAGGAAGGUUCAAGUGUUACAUUGUCUUGUAGUUAUUCUGCAUCUGGAGGUACAGAUUAUCUCCACUGGUACCGUCAGUAUGGAAGAUCAAAACCUGAAUUUCUUGUACUCAUCUAUAGCAGUGCAAAACAAGCUGAAGUGUCUGAUGUAGAUCCAAGAUUCACUGUUAACAAUACAAAAAAAGAUCAUGUGGAUCUGAAGAUCUCCUCUGCUGCUGUAUCAGACUCUGCUCUGUACUACUGUGCUCUGGCGCCCACACUGACAGGAAACACAUCAGCUCUCUACAAAAACCUGCAAUGACAGAAAAGAAACACAGAGACAGAGUGUAAAAUUAUUAGGUCGAAGCUGGUA